rnacentral:rRNA from 1 species
AGCGAACGCUGGCGGCAGGCUUAACACAUGCAAGUCGAGCGGGCAUCCUUGUGGUGUCAGCGGCAGACGGGUGAGUAACGCGUGGGAACGUGCCCUUCGGUUCGGAAUAACUCAGGGAAACUUGAGCUAAUACCGGAUACGUGCGAGAGCAGAAAGGAUUAUCUGCCGAAGGAUCGGCCCGCGUCUGAUUAGCUAGUUGGUGAGGUUACGGCUCACCAAGGCGACGAUCAGUAGCUGGUCUGAGAGGAUGAUCAGCCACACUGGGACUGAGACACGGCCCAGACUCCUACGGGAGGCAGCAGUGGGGAAUAUUGGACAAUGGGGGCAACCCUGAUCCAGCCAUGCCGCGUGAGUGAUGACGGCCUUAGGGUUGUAAAGCUCUUUUCUCCGGGACGAUAAUGACGGUACCGGAGGAAUAAGCCCCGGCUAACUUCGUG